GAGGAAAGAGGGAGGAGUGAAUAAUAAAUGAAAGUAGAGAGAAAAGAAGAAGAGAAUGAUAAUAUGAAAAAAGAGGAAGAAAAAUGAGUAAAAAGUAGAUAAAAUAAAUAUAACAAAAGGAUAAAAUAAGGAAAAAAGACACAACACAGCACAAUAUAUUGAACCGCAUGGUUCAAUAGUGAAAGACGGUUUUGCUGUCACUUAUAGAUGGAUCCGCGCCGCAUUAGCUAGUUGGUAAGGUAACGGCUUACCAAGGCAACGAUGCGUAGCCGACCUGAGAGGGUGGUUGGCCACACUGGAACUGAGACACGGUCCAGACUCCUACGGGAGGCAGCAGUAGGGAAUCUUCCGCAAUGGGCGAAAGCCUGACGGAGCAACGCCGCGUGAGUGAUGAAGGUCUUCGGAUCUUAAAACUCUGUUAUUAGGGAUGAACAAAUGUGUAAGUAACUAUGCACGUCUUGACGGUACCUAAUCAGAAAGCCACGGCUAACUACGUG
rnacentral:rRNA from 1 species